rnacentral:rRNA from 1 species
UACAGAGGGUGCAAGCGUUAAUCGGAAUUACUGGGCGUAAAGCGCGCGUAGGUGGUUAGUUAAGUUGGAUGUGAAAUCCCCGGGCUCAACCUAAGAACUGCAUUCAAAACUGACUGACUAGAGUAUGGUAGAGGGUGGUGGAAUUUCCUGUGUAGCGGUGAAAAGCGUAGAUAUAGGAAGGAACACCAGUGGCGAAGGCGACCACCUGGACUGAUACUCACACUGAGGUGCGAAAGCGUGGGGAGUAAACAGG